ensembl:lncRNA
CUCAGAUGAGCUCAGAAACCAUCUACAGGGCUGUGAUGAGGCUUAAAGGAGUUGCCAGGUGGGAGCGUGCCAGCAGGGAGAGUGCAGUGAGCGCUUGGUAAAGGUAACAGCAGGACACAUCACCCCAACCCUGGAGGGGGACACAGAGAGAGAAGGUGCAGAACCUGCAGUGCCAUCUACAGCGCAGACUGCAGGUUCCUCAGGCUGCGGGUGAAGAGGUUCACGGCAGGCCCCAGCACCCUGCUGCAGUUCCACCUGGCCCUGCUCCCAACCACAGCAUCCCCUCCAGGCGGACCGGUCCUCUUGGAGACUGCUGACAACAAGCACACUUCUGCCUCUUUCUAAAGCCUACUGAAACCAUCCGCUGCACCGGAAUGUCCUCCCUCCUUCUAUCUAGUCGCAGAUCACACCUUGUGCAAAGCCCACCUCCAGGGCCACCUCUCCCCUCCCUUGAAGAUCUAGCUUUUACUGUCCAUCAUUCACUUCGCAUUUUAAAAUAUACUGCUUGGUAGCAUCUCUUUCAUAUAUCAACCUAUUAUCUGAAAGGUACUUAAAAGAAAAAAAGACGAGGAAAAAAGAAAGGCCAACAUCAGUACCCUAAGACGGGCAGGAGCUAUUCUCCCCACUUCUGGCUCUCAUUUGGAGAAAGAAUAAAGAAACUAAAAAAAAAAAAAAAAAGAUAGUCUGAGAUGGGACUUAACAUUAGGACAGCUAAGAGGUAGACAGGUAUAUGUGAAAAGCAUUGUUGCAUGGAGACUGGACAAAGUCAAGAAAUGGCCAACAUCAAAGUUGGCGUGUGUCUCUAAUUCCCUAAACUUGCAGAGAUAAGCACAUGCUAACAAGAUCUGGAAUUUCGAAUUAACAGACAUAAACUACCAUAUAUAAGAUGGGUAAAUAACAGGGACUGAGUGUACAGCACAGGGAACUAUAUUCAGUAUCCUGUAAUAACCUAUAAUGAACAAGAAUCUGG